CUGGCCAACAGACAUAGGAAAAAAGUGUUCAACUUCAUUAACCAUCAGAGAAGUACAAAUCAAAACUACAAUGAGAUAUCAUCUCACCCCAGUUAAAAUGGCUUUUAUCUGAAAGACAGACAACAAUAAAUGCUAGCAAGGAUUUCGAGAGAAAGGAACCUUUGUACACUUUUGGUGGGAAUGUCAAUUAGUACAACCACUAUAGAGAACAGUUUGGAUGUUUCUCAAAAAACUAAAAAUAGAGCUACCAUAUGAUCCA